rnacentral:rRNA from 1 species
UGAAAUCUGGCCCCUCGGGCCCGAGUUGUAAUUUGUAGAGGAUGCUUUUGGCAAGGUGCCGCCCGAGUUCCCUGGAACGGGACGCCGCAGAGGGUGAGAGCCCCGUCUGGCUGGCCACCGAGCCUCUGUAAAGCUCCUUCGACGAGUCGAGUAGUUUGGGAAUGCUGCUCAAAAUGGGAGGUAUAUGUCUUCUAAAGCUAAAUAUUGGCCAGAGACCGAUAGCGCACAAGUAGAGUGAUCGAAAGAUGAAAAGCACUUUGAAAAGAGAGUUAAACAGUACGUGAAAUUGUUGAAAGGGAAGCGCUCAUGACCAGACUUGGGCUUGGCGAAUCAUCCGGCGUUCUCGCCGGUGCACUUCGCCUCGCUCAGGCCAGCAUCAGUUCGCGCCGGGGGACAAAAGCUUCGGGAAUGUGGCUCCCUCCGGGAGUGUUAUAGCCCGUUGCAUAAUACCCUGGUGCGGACUGAGGUUCGCGCAUCUGCAAGGAU